UACGUAGGGCGCAAGCGUUGUCCGGAAUUAUUGGGCGUAAAGAGCUCGUAGGCGGUUUGUCGCGUCUGCUGUGAAAACCCGAGGCUCAACUUCGGGCUUGCAGUCGAUACGGGCAGGCUAGAGUUCGGUAGGGGAGACUGGAAUUCCUGGUGUAGCGGUGAAAUGCGCAGAUAUCAGGAGGAACACCGGUGGCGAAGGCGGAUCUCUGGGCCGAUACUGACGCUGAGGAGCGAAAGCGUGGGGAGCGAUCCGG
rnacentral:rRNA from 1 species